GUGGGGAAUUUUGGACAAUGGGCGCAAGCCUGAUCCAGCAAUGCCGCGUGCAGGAAGAAGGCCUUCGGGUUGUAAACUGCUUUUGUACGGAACGAAACGGUCCGGGUUAAUACCCUGGGCUAAUGACGGUACCGUAAGAAUAAGCACCGGCUAACUACGUGCCAGCAGCCGCGGUAAUACGUAGGGUGCAAGCGUUAAUCGGAAUUACUGGGCGUAAAGCGUGCGCAGGCGGUUUUGUAAGACAGGCGUGAAAUCCCCGGGCUCAACCUGGGAAUUGCCUCCAAAACUGCAUGACUAGAGUACGGUAGAGGGUAGUGGAAUUUCCUGUGUAGCGGUGAAAUGCGUAGAGAUGCGGAGGAACACCGAUGGCGAAGGCAGCCUCCUGGGAUGACACUGACGCUCAUGCACGAAAGCGUGGGGAGCAAACAGGAUUAGAAACCCGUGUAGUCC
rnacentral:rRNA from 1 species